GUGGAAUUAGAGUAUGGAGAAAAAACCUGUCUCCGGAUUAAGGCAACCGUGACAGGGAGAAGUGUCCAUCCAUGAUGUAUGUUGGUAAAUCUCAGUUGAGCUGUCACUCCUCCAUCUUGGUUGUGAAGCAGGAGAAGCUCCAAGGCUCCCCGGAGAGCUAAAUAACAUAUAAAACAUCAAAGAGGAAUGAGACAGAUAAUCUAUUAAUGUGGAGGCUGUAAGACUGGCUGGCUGGUUGGCUGGGCUGGCUGGCUGCUGCAAUUUAAGCCUCUGGAUGGGGGAGUAUCAGUGAGGAGAGGUUCCCUUCAUCUCCACAAUGGCUGUUGACACUUCCUUCUCCGUCUGAGGAAUAAGAGCCAUGGUAACAGGAGGCUGUGGUAAUGGAUUGUCAGAAAGACUUAGAACCAAGACUUAGAACCAAGACUUAAAAAAGAACUGAUGUUGGCACAAAAUGGAGGGAAAGUUGGAGCAUAACAAACAAAAUGACAUUUAACAAAAAUGUAUGCUUAAUCCAG
ensembl:lncRNA